GACGAACGCUGGCGGCGUGCCUAAUACAUGCAAGUAGAACGCACAGUUUAUACCGUAGCUUGCUACACCAUAGACUGUGAGUUGCGAACGGGUGAGUAACGCGUAGGUAACCUGCCUGGUAGCGGGGGAUAACUAUUGGAAACGAUAGCUAAUACCGCAUAAUAUUAAUUAUUGCAUGAUAAUUAAUUGAAAGGUGCAAUUGCACCACUACCAGAUGGACCUGCGUUGUAUUAGCUAGUAGGUGAGGUAACGGCUCACCUAGGCGACGAUACAUAGCCGACCUGCGAGGGUGAUCGGCCACACUGGGACUGAGACACGGCCCAGACUCCUACGGGAGGCAGCAGUAGGGAAUCUUCGGCAAUGGACGAAAGUCUGACCGAGCAACGCCGCGUGAGUGAAGAAGGUUUUCGGAUCGUAAAGCUCUGUUGUAAGAGAAGAACGGGUGUGAGAGUGGAAAGUUCACACUGUGACGGUAGCUUACCAGAAAGGGACGGCUAACUACGUG
rnacentral:rRNA from 1 species